UGUGUUGUUCGGAGCAGUGGCUAACACAGAAAAUGACACGAAAAGUGUGAUUAUUCGCGCCUAGCAAAUGGAAAGCUCAUCAACUCUCUAUCGGGGUUCUGUCUGCUCUGCUAU
ensembl:ncRNA C36F7.11 ncRNA